rnacentral:tRNA from 1 species
GCCUUCGUGGUGUAGUGGUCAGCAUGCUUGGUGCGUAUUCCAGAGGUCUGUGGUUCGAGUCCCAGCGAAGGCG